UGAGGAAUAUUGGGCAAUGCCCGCAAGGGUGACCCAGCAACGCCGCGUGGAGGAUGAAUGUCGCAAGAUUGUAAACUCCUGUUAGAGGGGAAGAAUAGUACCGGUUGGACCGGUAUAUGACUGUACCCUCAGAGAAAGCCCCGGCUAACUACGUGCCAGCAGCCGCGGUAAUACGUAGGGGGCAAGCGUUGUCAGGAUUUACUGGGUGUAAAGGGCGCGCAGGCGGGAUAAAAAGUCAGUGGUGAAAUCCUACAGCUUAACUGUAGAACUGCCUCUGAUACUUUUAUUCUUGAGUUCGGGAGAGAGAGACGGAAUUCCAGGUGUAGUGGUGAAAUACGUAGAUAUCUGGAAGAACACCAGUUGCGAAGGCGGUCUCUUGGUCCGACACUGACGCUGAGGCGCGAAAGCGUGGGGAGCAAACA
rnacentral:rRNA from 1 species